rnacentral:rRNA from 1 species
UUGAACGCUGGCGGAAUGCUUUACACAUGCAAGUCGAGCGGCAGCGCGGGGGCAACCCUGGCGGCGAGCGGCGGACGGGUGAGUAAUGCAUUGGAACGUACCUAGUCGUGGGGGAUAACUAUCCGAAAGGAUAGCUAAUACCGCAUACGUCCUGAGGGAGAAAGCAGGGGAUCGCAAGACCUUGCGCGAUUAGAGCGGCCGAUGUCGGAUUAGCUAGUUGGUGGGGUAAAGGCCUACCAAGGCAACGAUCCGUAGCUGGUCUGAGAGGAUGAUCAGCCACACUGGGACUGAGACACGGCCCAGACUCCUACGGGAGGCAGCAGUGGGGAAUUUUGGACAAUGGGGGCAACCCUGAUCCAGCCAUGCCGCGUGAGUGAAGAAGGCCUUCGGGUUGUAAAGCUCUUUCAGACGGAAAGAAAACGCAUCGGUGAAUACCCGGUGUGGAUGACGGUACCGUAAGAAGAAGCACCGGCUAACUACGU